GUAGGGAAUAUUGGUCAAUGGAUGGAAGUCUGAACCAGCCAUGCCGCGUGCAGGAAGAAGGCCUUCUGGGUUGUAAACUGCUUUUGCCAGGGGCUAAAAAGCUCAUGCGUGAGAAAUUGAAAGUACCUGGUGAAUAAGCCACGGCUAACUACGUGCCAGCAGCCGCGGUAAUACGUAGGUGGCAAGCGUUGUCCGGAUUUAUUGGGUUUAAAGGGUGCGUAGGCGGCUUUGUAAGUCAGUGGUGAAAUAUGGCAGCUUAACUGUCAGGGUGCCAUUGAUACUGCGGAGCUUGAGUACAGAUGAGGUAGGCGGAAUUGACGGUGUAGCGGUGAAAUGCUUAGAUAUCGUCAAGAACACCGAUAGCGAAGGCAGCUUACUGGGCUGUAACUGACGCUGAGGCACGAAAGUGUGGGGAUCAAACAGGAUUAGAAACCCUGGUAGUCC
rnacentral:rRNA from 1 species